UAGAAACCGGAGCAUAAGGGCCUCGGACAUAAAUGGCUGGAUUUUGGCCAUUUAUGUCCGAGGCCCUUAUGUGCAGGUUUCUGGGCC
rnacentral:sRNA from 1 species